GCCUGUGAUGAUUCAAUCCGCUUUUUUGAGGUGUAGUGGAGCUGAGACCUUGUUUACAAGGAGAACCCCUCGGCGAAGCUACAUUGCAUAUGAAAUCAAUGGAUUUAACUGAGGU